UGAAGCUUAACAGCCAAGUGUCCAUAGUAGAAAAUAUCUAGGGAGAGUCAAGAGUUUAACAGCCUUGUUCUCCUUAACCAGACAAAAUAGGGUGUUUUCUUGCCCAAGAGAGGCUUCAAAUUACACUCGGGAGCUCAUAGCUUAACCGCCUUGCUUCCAACAAAAAGAUUGUCCGAAUAAGUAUCGGGGAAGAAAGCCA